rnacentral:rRNA from 1 species
UACGUAGGGGGCGAAACGUUGUCCGGAUUUACUGGGCGUAAAGGGCACGUAGGCGGCUGAUCAAGUCAGGUGUGAAAGCCCACGGCUUAACCGUGUGAAGUGCAUCUGAAACUGGUCGGCUUGAGUAUCGGAGAGGAAAGUGGAAUUCCCGGUGUAGAGGUGAAAUUCGUAGAUAUCGGGAGGAAUACCGGUGGCGAAGGCGACUUUCUGGACGAAUACUGACGCUGAGGCGCGAAAGCGUGGGGAGCGAACAGGAUUAGAAACCCUGUAGU